rnacentral:rRNA from 1 species
UACGGAGGGUGCAAGCGUUAUCCGGAUUCACUGGGUUUAAAGGGUGCGUAGGUGGGCAGGUAAGUCAGUGGUGAAAUCUCCGGGCUUAACUCGGAAACUGCCAUUGAUACUAUCUGUCUUGAAUACCGUGGAGGUCAGCGGAAUAUGUCAUGUAGCGGUGAAAUGCUUAGAUAUGACAUAGAAAACCAAUUGCGAAGGCAGCUGGCUACACGAAUAUUGACACUGAUGCACGAAAGCGUGGGGAGCAAACAGG